rnacentral:rRNA from 1 species
AGUGAACGCUGGCGGUAGGCCUAACACAUGCAAGUCGAACGGCAGCACAGUAAGAGCUUGCUCUUACGGGUGGCGAGUGGCGGACGGGUGAGGAAUACAUCGGAAUCUACUUUUUCGUGGGGGAUAACGUAGGGAAACUUACGCUAAUACCGCAUACGACCUACGGGUGAAAGCAGGGGAUCUUCGGACCUUGCGCGAUUGAAUGAGCCGAUGUCGGAUUAGCUAGUUGGCGGGGUAAAGGCCCACCAAGGCGACGAUCCGUAGCUGGUCUGAGAGGAUGAUCAGCCACACUGAAACUGAGACACGGUCCAAACUCCUACGGAAGGCAGCAGUGCGGAAUAUUGGACAAUGGGCUCAAGCCUGAUCCAGCCAUACCGCGUGGGUGAAGAAGGCCUUCGGGUUGUAAAGCCCUUUUGUUGGGAAAGAAAAGCAGCAGGUUAAUACCCCGCUGUUCUGACGGUACCCAAAGAAUAAGCACCGGCUAACUUCGUG